CUUUGGGAUUUCGCUGCCUGGGUGUCGGGCUGUGGGUUUCCUAGUGAGUGUCAGCAUGAGAUGGGACCAGGGGCUUAAGCGCAGGGGAGGAUUUCAAGUGCCACCCCACGGAAACCCAGGAAUCAGGCUGUGGGCUAGGGUUAGGGUUAGGACAGGGGAGCACGACACGGCAGGAAUUCACACAGCAGACAAUUUGGGCGUGAGAGGUAAGGGUUAGGACAGGGGAGCACGACACGGCAGGAAUUCACACAGCAGACAAUUUGGGCGUGAGAGGUAAGGUGAGGGCAGUGACUUUUGUGAAGCUCGGAUGUGCCGUGGUUUUCCCUCGGACCGGAGCCUUGCCGCCUUGACAGAAUCGGGAGGGAGGGGCCAUCGCCUAGCGUCAGAGCUACAUUUAGGGGCUG
rnacentral:lncRNA from 1 species